rnacentral:rRNA from 1 species
UACGUAGGGGGCUAGCGUUGUCCGGAAUCAUUGGGCGUAAAGAGCGUGUAGGCGGUCCGGUAAGUCCGCUGUGAAAGUCGGGGGCUCAACCCUCGAAUGCCGGUGGAUACUGUCGGGCUAGAGUGCGGAAGAGGCGAGUGGAAUUCCUGGUGUAGCGGUGAAAUGCGCAGAUAUCAGGAGGAACACCUAUUGCGAAGGCAGCUCGCUGGGACGUAACUGACGCUGAGACGCGAAAGCGUGAGGAGCAAACAGG